rnacentral:lncRNA from 1 species
CUAUUUGGGAAUAUGACAACUUCUUCGUCAUUCUAAUCAAACCAGGAUGAAUCGCGAUGUAAGAAGCUUGAUUUGGAUACAUAAUGUAGUGGAGAAUCACCAGGAAGUUGAAUAAAUCUCAUAUGAGUUGGGAUGAUAAAGCUAUACCACUAUCAAAUCAUGUGAUCCCAGUUUUCCUGUUUGGGAAUAUAACAACUUCUUCGUCAUUAGAAUCAAACCAGGAUGAAUCACGGUGUAAGAAGCUUGAUUUGGAUACAUAAAGUAGUGGACAAUCACCAGGAAGUUGAAUAAAUGUCAUAGGAGUUAGGAUGAAGAAGCUAUCAU